rnacentral:sRNA from 1 species
GGGAUGGAAGCGGCAUCCUUUUUAUUGCCCCUGUGCGGUUGCGCUGGUUUUGGGGCAAUAAAAAGAUAUAGCGGACAGCCCG